GCUAGUUGUAUUAACUAAUAGUUAAUACAAGAUCGACUAUGUCGACUAAAGUUCUAGGUAGAAUAAUGAUGAUGACAAUUUUCUACCUAUAUGUCUUGACCAAAUCUCGUGCCAGCAGUCGCGGUAAUACGUGAAAGACUAGUGUUAUUCAUCUUUAAUAGGUUUAAAGGGUACCUAGACGGUUUAUCUAGCCCAAAACAGGGUACGGAUUUUCUAGAGUUUUAUGUGAGGAGGGGAGUACUCAUAGAGUAGAGAUGAAAUUUUGUGAUACUAUGAGGAAACUGGUGGCGGCGAAAGCAACCUUCUAUGUAUAAACUGACGUUGAGGGACGAAGGCUUGGGUAGCAAAUAGGAUUAGAUACCCUAGUAGUCCAAGCAGACAAUUCUGAAUGUCAUAGAUUAGAUUUUUUUUUGGUCUAUAAAUGAAAGUGUAAGCAUUCCACCUUAGGAGUAAUGUGGCAACACAGGAACUGAAAUCAUUAGACCGUUUCUGAAACCAGUAGUGAAGUAUGUUAUUUAAAUUGUUAGUCCUCAAAAAACCUUACCACAACUUGAAUGUUAUUUAAUUAAUACAAGCGUUGCACGGCUGUCUUCAGUUAAUGUCGUGAGAUUUUGGUUAACUCCCUCAAUUAACGUAAACCCUUACUUUA
rnacentral:rRNA from 1 species